AAAUUUCUAAAAAAAAA
rnacentral:sRNA from 1 species